rnacentral:misc_RNA from 1 species
AACCUUAUGGACCUGCGGGCGUAUACCUGCGGAAGGAUCAUUACUGUGAUUUACUACUACACUGCGUGAGCGGAACGAAAACAACAACACCUAAAAUGUGGAAUAUAGCAUAUAGUCGACAAGAGAAAUCUACGAAAAAACAAACAAAACUUUUAACAAUGGAUCU